rnacentral:lncRNA from 1 species
CUUCACAAGUGACCUCUCUUGUGGUCACUCUCCUAGUGGCAAUAGUCUCUCUCACAUUGCCUUCAGAAACUUCAGCUAACUACCCUUACACCUCUCCACCACCACCGGCCUCUCCUCCCUACCAUUACAAGUCACCACCGCCUCCUUCUCCUUCUCCUCCAGUGCACUACUCACCACCUAAGCAUCCCUACCACCCUAAGUCACCACCACCUCCUGUGUACGCACCACCUAAGCAUCCCUACCACCCUAAGUCACCACCACCUCCUGUGUACCCACCACCUAAGCAUCCCUACCACCCCAAGUCACCACCACCAUCACCAAAGCCUUACCACUACAAAUCCCCACCACCACCUCCUGCUCCAGUGCACUCACCACCCCCACCUAAGGAGCCAUACCACUACAAGUCCCCACCACCACCACCCAAGAAGCCCUACCACUACAAAUCUCCCCCACCACCUCCUCCUCCAGUUCACUCACCACCACCACCCAAGGAGCCUUACCACUACAAAUCUCCACCACCACCACCCAAGAAACCUUACUAUUACAAGUCUCCUCCACCACCACCAAAGAAGCCUUACCACUACAUGUCUCCUCCCCCACCGGUGUACUCACCACCUCCACCAGUGCACUCACACCCACCACCAAAAAAGCCUUACCAUUACAAAUCUCCUCCCCCGCCAGAAUAUUCACCAGCUCCACCAGUGCACUCAACCCCACCACCAAAGAAGCCCUACCAUUACAAAUCCCCACCACCACCACCACCACACAAGAAGCCUUAUUACCCUGUUCACUCACCACCUCCACCUAAGAAGCCUUACCACUACAAAUCCCCACCACCACCUUCUCCUACUCCUCCUAAAUACUCACCACCUAAGCACCCCUACCACUACAAGUCUCCACCACCACCACCAAAGAAGCCUUACCAUUACAAGUCCCCACCACCUCCUUCUCCUACUCCCCCUAAAUACUCACCACCUAAGCACCCCUACCACUACAAGUCACCACCACCACCACCCCAAGAAGCCUUACCACUACAAGUCUCCACCACCACCACCUCCUCCAGUUCCCACACCAUCUCCACCCAAGAAACCUUACCACUACAAGUCUCCCCCACCACCCCCUCCAGUCUACAAGUCUCCUCCACCACCAGUUUACUCACCACCACCACCACCUAAGAAACCUUACAAGCCACCAACUCCUCCAGCAGUUCACCCACCACACGGUUACAUCUAUUCCUCACCCCCACCUCCUCACCACUACUAGAUAUUGAAAGUUUAAUUGCAUCAAGCUGGUAAGCUUCUCCAUUCUAUGCUAUUAUUCAUUAAUUAGUUAGUACUACUGUUGUCAAUUUGGAAAUCACCAUAC